CAAUACGGAGCGGCAGACUUCCAGAGUAACACGUGGGAACGUACCCUUUGGUUCGGAACAACCCAGGGAAACUUGGGCUAAUACCGGAUAAGCCCUUACGGGGAAAGAUUUAUCGCCGAAGGAUCGGCCCGCGUCUGAUUAGCUAGUUGGUGGGGUAAUGGCCCACCAAGGCGACGAUCAGUAGCUGGUCUGAGAGGACGAUCAGCCUCACUGGGACUGAGACACGGCCCAGACUCCUACGGGAGGCAGCAGUGGGGAAUAUUGGAUAAUGGGCGCAAGCCUGAUCCAGCCAUGCCGCGUGGGUGAUGAAGGCCUUAGGGUUGUAAAGCCCUUUCGGCGGGGAAGAUAAUGACGGUACCCGCAGAAGAAGCCCCGGCUAACUUCGUGCCAGCAGCCGCGGUAAUACGAAGGGGGCUAGCGUUGCUCGGAAUCACUGGGCGUAAAGCGCACGUAGGCGGAUUGUUAAGUCAGGGGUGAAAUCCUGGAGCUCAACUCCAGAACGGCCCUUGAUACUGGCGAUCUC
rnacentral:rRNA from 1 species